rnacentral:rRNA from 1 species
GAUGAACGCUGGCGGCGUGCCUAAUACAUGCAAGUCGAGCGAACAGACGAGGAGCUUGCGCCCCUGACGUUAGCGGCGGACGGGGGAGUAACACGUGGAUAACCUACCUAUAAGACUGGGAUAACAACGGGAAACCGGAGCUAAUACCGGAUAAUAUAUUGAACUGCAUGGGUCAAUAGUGAAAGACGGUUGUGCGGUGACUUAUAGAUGGAUCCGGGCAGGAUUAGUUAGUUGGUAAGGUAACGGCUUACCAAGGCAACGAUGCGUAGCCGACCUGAGAAGGUGAUCGGCCAGCCUGGAACUGAGACACGGCCCAGACUCCUACGGGAGGCAGCAGUCGGGAAUCUUACGCAAUGGGGGAAAGCCUGACAGAGCAACGCCGCGUGAGUGAUGAAGGUGUUCGGAUCGUAAAGCUCUGUUGUUAGGAAAGAACAAAUGUGUAAGUAACUGUGCACGUCUUGACGGUACCUAAUCAAAAAGCCACGGCUAACUACGUG